GUUGCGCCAUAACAGUAUAACUUUGCAACGAGUGCUUUUUCUCAUUUUAUCGAAAAAGCGCAAAUUUAAUUAUAUUGUUCUAUAAUGCCCAGAGAGUGUAAAAUUUGGAACGAAUCGAUGUCAACGCUCACAAGAACAAAAACCGGAACAACAUCAGACUACUCAGUUGCGCCAUAACAGUAUAACUUUGCAACGAGUGCUUUUUCUCAUUUUAUCGAAGAAAAAGAGUAAAACAUAAUUAUAUUGUUCUAUUAUGCCCAGAGAGUGUAAAUUUGGAACGAAUCGAUGUCAACGCUCGCAAGAACAAAAACCGAAACAACUUUAGACUACUCAGUUGCGCAAUAACAGUAUAACAUUGCAACGAGUGAUUUUUCUCAUUUUAUCGAAGAAAGCGUAAAACCUAAUUAUAUUUUUCUAUUAUGACCAGAGAGUGUAAAUUUGGAACGAAUCGAUGUCAACGCUCACAAGAACAAAAAUCGGAACAACAUUAGACUACUCAGUUGCUCCAUAACAGUAUAACUUUGCAACGAGUACUUUUUCUCAUUUUAUCGAAGAAAACGCAAAAUCUAAUUAUAUUGUUCUAUUAUGCCCAGAGAGUGUAAAUUUGGAACGAAUCGAUGUCAACGCUCACAUGAACAAAAAUCGGGACAACAUUAGACUACUGAGUUGCGCCCUAACAGUAUAAAUUUGCAACGAGACCUUUUUCUCAUUUUAUCGAAGAAAGCAUCAAACCUAAUUAUAUUGUUCUAUUAUGCCCAGACAGUGUAAUUUUGGAACGAAUCGAUGUCAACGCUCACAAGAAUAAAAACCGGAACAACAUUAGACUACUCAGUCGCGCCCUAACAGUAUAACUUUGCAACGAGUACUUUUUCUCAUUUUAUCGAACAAAGCGUCAAACCUAAUUAUAUUGAUUUAUUAUGCCCAGAGAGUGUAAAUUUAGAACGAAUCGAUGUCAACGCUCACAAGAACAAAAACCGGAACAACAAUAGACUACUUAGUUGCGCCAUAACAGUAUAACUUUGCAACGAAUGCUUUUUCUCAUUUUAUCGAAAAAGCGCAAAUUUAAUUAUAUUGUUCUAUAAUGCCCAGAGAGUGUAAAAUUUGGAACGAAUCGAUGUCAACGCUCACAAGAACAAAAACCGGAACAACAUGAGACUACUCAGUUACGCCCUAACAGUAUAAAUUUGCAACGAGCACUUUUUCUCAUUUUAUCGAAGAAAGCAUUAAACCUAAUUAUAUUGUAAUAUUAUGCCCAGAGGGUGUAAAUUUGGAACGAAUCGAUGUCAACGCUCACAAGAACAAAAACCGGAACAACAUUAGACUACUCAGUUGCGCCAUAACAGUAUAAUUUUGCAACGAGUGCUUUUCUCAUUUCAUCGAAGAAAGCGCAAAUCUAAUUAUAUUGUUCUAUUAUGCCCAGAGAGUGUAAAUUUGGAACGAAAUCGAUGUCAACGCUCACAAGAACAAAAACAGGAACAACAUUAGACUACUCAGUUGCGCCCUUACAGUAUAACUUUGCAACGAGUACUUUUUCUCAUUUUAUCGAAGAAAGCGUAAAACCUAAUUGUAUUCUUCUAUUAUGCCCAGAGAGUGUAAAUUUGGAACGAAUCGAUGUCAACGUUCACAAGAACAAAAACCGGAACAACAUUAGACUACUCAGUUGCGCCCUAACAGUAUAACUUUGCGACGAGUACUUUUUCUCAUUCUAUCGAACAAAGAGUAAAACAUAAUUAUAUUGUUCUAUUAUGCCCAGAGAGUGUAAAUUUGGAACGAAUCGAUGUCAACGCUCGCAAGAACAAAAACCGAAACAACUUUAGACUACUCAGUUGCGCAAUAACAGUAUAACAUUGCAACGAGUGAUUUUUCUCAUUUUAUCGAAGAAAGCGUAAAACCUAAUUAUAUUUUUCUAUUAUGACCAGAGAGUGUAAAUUUGGAACGAAUCGAUGUCAACGCUCACAAGAACAAAAAUCGGAACAACAUUAGACUACUCAGUUGCGCCCUAACAGUAUAACUUUGCAACGAGUACUUAUUCUCAUUUUAUCGAACAAAGCGUCAAACCUAAUUAUAUUGAUUUAUUAUGCCCAGAGAGUGUAAAUUUGGAACGAAUCAAUGUCAGCGCUCACAGGAACAAAAACCGGAACAACAAUAGACUGCUUAGUUGCGCCAUAACAGUAUAACUUUGCAACGAGUGCUUUUUCUCAUUUUAUCGAAAAAGCGCAAAUUUAAUUAUAUUGUUCUAUUCUGCCCAGAGAGUGUAAAUUUGGAACGAAUCGAUGUCAACGCUCACAAGAAAAAAAACCAGAACAACAUUAGACUACUCAGUUGCGACAUAACAGUAUAACUUUGCAACGAGUACUUUUUCUCAUUUUAUCGAAGAAAACGCAAAAUCUAAUUAUAUUGUUCUAUUAUGCCCAGAGAGUGUAAAUUUGGAACGAAUCGAUGUCAACGCUCACAUGAACAAAAAUCGGGACAACAUUAGACUACUGAGUUGCGCCCUAACAGUAUAAAUUUGCAACGAGACCUUUUUCUCAUUUUAUCGAAGAAAGCAUCAAACCUAAUUAUAUUGUUCUAUUAUGCCCAGACAGUGUAAUUUUGGAACGAAUCGAUGUCAACGCUCACAAGAAUAAAAACCGGAACAACAUUAGACUACUCAGUCGCGCCCUAACAGUAUAACUUUGCAACGAGUACUUUUUCUCAUUUUAUCGAAGAAAGCGUCAAACCUAAUUAUAUUGUUCUAUAAUGCCCAGAGAGUGUAAAUUUGGAACGAAUCGAUAUCAACACUCACAAAAAUAAAAACCGGAACAACAUUUGAGUACUCAGUUGUGCCUCUAACAGGUAUAACUUUUUGCAACCAGUACUUUAUUCUCAUUUUUUUGAAGUAAGCGGCCAAAACUAAUUUAUAUUGUAUUCUAUUUAGCCCCAGAGAGCUUGUAAAUUUCUGGAACGAAUUGAUGUCAACGCUCCACAAGAACAAAAACUGGAACAAAAUUAGGCUACUUAGUUGCGCCCUAACAGUAUAACUUUGCAACGAGUGCUUUUUCACAUUUUAUCGAAGAAAGCGUCAAACCUAAUUAUAUUGCUCUAUAAUGCCCAGAGAGUGUAAAUUUGGAACGAAUCGAUAUCAACACUCACAAAAAUAAAAACCGGAACAACAUUUGAGCACUCAGUUGUGUGCCCUUAACAGGUAUAACUUUUGCAACCAGUACUUUUUCUUCAUUUUAUCGAAAGUAAUGCGUCAAAACUAAUUUAUAUUAUGUCUCUUUUACGCCCAGAAGAGAGUAAAUCUGGAACGGAAUCGAUGUCAACGCUCACAAGAACAAAAACUGGAACAAAAUUAGGCUACUUAGUUGCGCCCUAACAGUAUAACUUUGCAACGAGUGCUUUUUCACAUUUUAUCGAAGAAAGCGUCAAACCUAAUUAUAUUGCUCUAUAAUGCCCAGAGAGUGUAAAUUUGGAACGAAUCGAUAUCAACACUCACAAAAAUAAAAACCGGAACAACAUUUGAGUACUCAGUUGCGCCUUAACAGUAUAACUUUGCAACCAGUACUUUUUCUCAUUUUAUCGAAGUAAGCGUCAAACCUAAUUAUAUUAUUCUAUUAUGCCCAGAGAGUGUAAAUUUGGAACGAUUCGAUGUCAACGCUCACAAGAACAAAAACCGGAACAACAUUAGACUCUUCAGUUGCACCCUAACAGUAUAACUUUGCAACGCGUACUUUUUCUCGUUUUAUCGAAGAAAGCGUAAAAUCUAAUUAUAUUGUUGUAUUAUGCCCAGAUAGUGUAAAUUUGGAACGAAUCGAUGUCAACGCUCACAAGAACAAAAACCGGAACAACAUUAGAGCACUCAGUUCCGCCAUAACAGUAUAACUUUGCAACGAGUGCUUUUUUUCAUUUUAUCGAAGAAAGCGUAAAACCUAGUUAUAUUAUUCUAUUAUGCCCAGAGAGUGUAAAUUUGGAACGAAUCGAUUUCAACGCUCACAAGAACAAAAACCGGAACAACAUUAGACUACUCAGUUGCGCCCUAACAGUAUAACUUUGCAACGAGUACUUUUUCUCAUUUAUCGAAGAAAGCGUCAAACCUAAUUAUAUUGUUCUAUCUUGCCCAGAGAGUGUAAAUUUGGAACGAAUCGAUGUCAAAGCUCACAAGAACAAAAAUCGGAUCAAUAUUAGACUACUCAGUUGCGCCCUAACAGUAUAACUUUGCAACGAGUGCUUUUUCUCAUUUUAUCGAAGAAAGCGUAAAUCUAAUUAUAUUGUUCUAUUAUACCUAGAGAGUGUAAAAUUGGAACGAACUGAUGUGAGCGCUCACAAGAACAAAAACCGGAUCAAUAUUAGACUACUCAGUUCCGCCCUAACAGUAUAACUUUGCAACGAGUACUUUUUCUCAUUUAUCGAAGAAAGCGUCAAACCUAAUUAUAUUGUUCUAUUAUGCCCAGAGAGUGUAAAUUUGGAACGAAUCGAUUUUAAAGCUCACAAGAACAAAAACCGGAACAAUAUUAGACAACUCAGUUGCGCCCGAACAGUAUAACUUUGCAACGAGUGCUUUUUCUCAUUUUAUCGAAGAAAGCGUCAAACCUCAUUAUAUUGUUCUAUUAUGCCGAGAGAGUGUAAAUUUGGAACGAAUCGAUGUCAACGCUCACAAGAACAAAAACCGGAACAACAUUAGACUCUUCAGUUGCACCCUAACAGUAUAACUUUGCAACGCGUACUUUUUCUCGUUUUAUCGAAGAAAGCGUAAAAUCUAAUUAUAUUGUUGUAUUAUGCCCAGAUAGUGUAAAUUUGGAACGAAUCGAUGUCAACGCUCACAAGAACAAAAACCGGAACAACAUUAGAGCACUCAGUUCCGCCAUAACAGUAUAACUUUGCAACGAGUGCUUUUUUUCAUUUUAUCGAAGAAAGCGUAAAACCUAGUUAUAUUAUUCUAUUAUGCCCAGAGAGUGUAAAUUUGGAACGAAUCGAUUUCAACGCUCACAAGAACAAAAACCGGAACAACAUUAGACUACUCAGUUGCGCCCUAACAGUAUAACUUUGCAACGAGUACUUUUUCUCAUUUUAUCGAAGAAAGCGUAAAAUCUAAUUAUAUUGUUCUAUUAUUCCCAGAUAGUGUAAAUUUGGAACGAAUUGAUGUCAACGCUCACAAGAACAAAAACCGGAACAACUUUAGACUACUCAGUUGCGCCUAACAGUAUAACUUUGCAACGAGUACUUUUUCUCAUUUUAUCGAAGAAAGCGUCAAAACUAAUUAUAUUGUUCUAUUACGCCCAGAGAGUGUAAAUUUGGAACGAAUUGAUGUCAACGCUCACAAGAACAAAAACUGGAACAAAAUUAGGCUACUUAGUUGCGCCCUAACAGUAUAACUUUGCAACGAGUGCUUUUUCACAUUUUAUCGAAGAAAGCGUCAAACCUAAUUAUAUUGCUCUAUAAUGCCCAGAGAGUGUAAAUUUGGAACGAAUCGAUAUCAACACUCACAAAAAUAAAAACCGGAACAACAUUUGAGUACUCAGUUGCGCCUUAACAGUAUAACUUUGCAACCAGUACUUUUUCUCAUUUUAUCGAAGUAAGCGUCAAACCUAAUUAUAUUAUUCUAUUAUGCCCAGAGAGUGUAAAUCUGGAACGAAUCGAUGUCAACGCUCACAAGAACAAAAACCGGAACAACAUUAGACUACUCAGUUGCGCCAUAACAAUAUAACUUUGCAACGAGUACUUUUUCUUAUUUUAUCGAAGAAAGCGUAAAUCCUAAUUAUAUUAUUCUAUUAUGCCCAGAGAGAGUAAAUUUAGAACCAAUCGAUGUCAACGCUCACAAGAACAAAAAUCGGAACAACAAUAGACUACUCAGUUGCACCCUAACAGUAUAACUUUACAACGAGUGCUUUUUCUCAUUUUAUCGAAGAAGGCGUCAAACCUAAUUAUAUUGUUCUAUUAUUCCGAGAAAGUGUAAAUUUGGAACGAAUCGAUGUCAAAGCUCACAAGAACAAAAACCGGAACAAUAUUGGACUACUCAGUUGCGCCCUAACAGUAUAACUUUGCAACGAGUGCUUUUUCCCAUUUUAUCGAAGAAAGCGUAAAUGCUAAUUAUAUUGUUCUAUUAUGCCCAGAGAGUGUAAAUUUGGAACGAACCGAUGUCAGCGCUCACAAGAACAAAAACCGGAACAACAUUAGACUAAUCAGUUGCGCCCGAACAGUAUAAUUUUGCAACGAGUGAUUUUUCUCAUUUUAUCGAAGAAAGCGUCAAACCUAAUUAUAUUGUUCUAUUAUGCCCAGAGAGUGUAAAUUUGGAACGAAUCGAUGUCAACGCUCACAUGAACAAAAAUCGGGACAACAUUAGACUACUGAGUUGCGCCCUAACAGUAUAAAUUUGCAACGAGACCUUUUUCUCAUUUUAUCGAAGAAAGCAUCAAACCUAAUUAUAUUGUUCUAUUAUGCCCAGACAGUGUAAUUUUGGAACGAAUCGAUGUCAACGCUCACAAGAAUAAAAACCGGAACAACAUUAGACUACUCAGUCGCGCCCUAACAGUAUAACUUUGCAACGAGUACUUUUUCUCAUUUUAUCGAAGAAAGCGUCAAACCUAAUUAUAUUGUCUAUUAUGACCAGAGAGUGUAAAUUUGGAACGAAUCGAUGUCAACGCUCACAAGAACAAAAACCGGAAGAAAAUUAGACCACUUAGUUGCGCCCUAACAGUAUAACUUUGCAACGAGUACUUUUUCUCAUUUUAUCGAAUAAAGCGUAAAACCUAAUUAUAUUGUUCUAUUAUGCCCAGAGAGUGUAAAUUUGGAACGAAUCGAUGUCAACGCUCACAAGAACAAAAACCGGAAUAACUUUAGACUACUCAGUUGCGCCAUAACAAUAUAACUUUGCAA
rnacentral:lncRNA from 1 species